GGCAGAGCGGGGUAGUGUGGGCGAGGGAAGUCCUUGUGUACCAGGUUUCUGAACGAAACACAAAAGGAAACAAGAUGCAGGAAAUUUUUGGUGAAGAACAUUUUUCCAUAGCUUGUGAACAUGUUGGUCCUCCGAUUUUGAUUUUUCAUUAUCUGUGGUCCAUGCAUGCUUUUGAUAUUCAAUCACUUUAUUUGUUUACAUCCUACUAGAUUCUAAUUUCAGAAUUGGUAUUCUAUUUAGCUCUAAGACCUUGCCUUUAUUUUGUAUGAAGUUUACUAAUACAUUAAAUUGCAUGCAUGUUAGAUAUUCGAUGGGUGCUACUGUUUCUGAUUACAUGCAAUUCCACUUGGUUGCACUUUUUAUUAUGUUUUUGUACAGAUCCUUUGAAGGUAGUGCUGUUGCUGAAUCUUGAUGCUAUGGAUAUUGUCUGCUUUCAACCCCACCAUGUACUACUUACCAGAUAUGGAGGCUAUGUAAUAUUUGUCCUCUAUUGUCUUUCAGUAAUUCCUUCUUCCUGAAAUUUACCUACAAACUUUAUGA